rnacentral:rRNA from 1 species
UACGUAGGGGGCUAGCGUUGUCCGGAAUCAUUGGGCGUAAAGCGCGUGUAGGCGGUUCGGUAAGUCCGCUGUGAAAGUCGGGGGGCUCAACCCUCGAAUGCCGGUGGAUACUGUCGGACUAGAGUACGGAAGAGGCGAGUGGAAUUCCUGGUGUAGCGGUGAAAUGCGCAGAUAUCAGGAGGAACACCAAUUGCGAAGGCAGCUCGCUGGGACGUUACUGACGCUGGAGACGCGAAAGCGUGGGGAGCAAACAGG